GCAGUCACUGGCAAAGGUUACGACAGGUCGAAUUGUCUUCACACAGUCGGACUCUCUUGUUCUAUAACUCAAAAUCCAAAACACCUUUUUUCCUUCAUGUUCAUUUGUUUUGUAUUUUUAACUUCGCAUUAGAGGAACAUGCUAUUUUCUUUUUUCAUUAUAUCAUGUAUUUAUAUUUAAUCAACUAUUAAUGCCGAGGUCACUGAGUUUGGCAACAGUCAGUGCAGAGGAACUGCCACUACGCAAGAGCUUUGAUGACUGAAAAUACCUUGAUCAGUCUCAGCCAAUUGCUUUGAGAGAAGACACAGCCAACACGCCACAGCAUCACCUGACAGCCAGAGCGAGUGUGCGCAUGCGCUGACUGAACUGCUCUCUGCCAAUCAUCAUUGGGGUUACUUUCAGUCAUUGACAUCCUUUCUCAGUCACCAGAUGCUCCACUGCGGCUCGUUUCUAAGGUCCACUGAUUAUCAUGACCGAUGACAAUAUAUUACUGUGUGGCAAUUUGCGAUAUCUUGAAUUAGACAUUACAUUACAGUAAAUGAGAUUAGUCUUUCAAAAAAUGUCAUAUAGGCUGUAUUCCUGCAGAUGGCUUUCCUACUAUCAAGUCAAUUCAAGUUAUUUUGUGAGCCCUUAAUCACAUAACAGUCAAAGACCUUCAAAAUGACAGCCCCUCCUGGUAUAGGUUACCAUCCAGGUAAGGAAAGGGAAAAUGCAUUUGUGAAAAAGAAAUAACACUAAGUUAGAUAUGAUAUGAGUGCAUUUUGAAAUUACAAGUUCACUUAUUAUUUGAACUAUUUCUCUUUCAUACACAGCUAUUUGCAUUUUGGGGACUUUCUGAAUUGCCCCAAGAUAGCAUACUAUGGAAUCCAAAGCGUCCCUCUUCCGUGCAAAAAAAUAUUCUGAUAACAGCAUUGCGUACAUGUUAUGAGACACAUGUUCCAUCAGUGAUUAUUGUUUAAAUCUUAUGUUCAUUAACAUAAAUGUUCCCACAGUUACAUGAGACAGUAAUGAAACAAAUAUUUUGAAAAAUGAAAUUUACCAUUCAUGUUAACAGUUUUAUUUAAGAUUCAAUUGGCCUUGGUAACUGAGUUGAGAUUCAAUUUGGUCAAAUGGGGGUCGGGCAGGGGAGGGGUCAAGGAAAAAUGGCAUUUUAGAGGGUACUCCAGACUUAUUUGGUAUUUUUAAAAGUAUAUUGAAAUAUUCUUUCUUUUUUAUAUAGUUUUGGUCUCAGAAGAAGUAAAUUUACUCAGAAACACAUGUUUUAGUAUUUCGUAUGUAGAUGAUUUAAAAAUACAAUGGGUGUGAUGUAAAAUGUUGGCCAAUUCGGAAAUGACCACUCUAAUCAGAGGACCCCCUUCUCAGAUUGGCUUACAAGUAUUAGUUCACAAUAUCCACCAUUUGCUCAGGCAAGCCAUAAUUCUGUGAUGUUUCAAAUGCUGAAACCUGCCUUAAAAACUCAACUACUGCAAAAGGAAGAAUAUUGGUGAGAAGGGCUGUUAAUUUAUUUGUUAUGGAGACUUUUAGAAGCAUCUGAAGCGCCCGUUCCAUGUUGUUAUAUACAGUAUAUAUUUUUUUUUAAAUCUUCAGAGAUGGCGGUCUCCUGCCAUGUUGCUACAACAGGAAUA